UACGGGAGGCAGCAGGUGGGAAUAUUGCACAAGUGGGCGCAAGCCUGACGCAGCCAUGCCGCGUGUAUGAAAAAGGCCUUCGGGUUGUAAAGUACUUUCAGUCGUGAGGAAGGUGUUAAGGUUAAUAACCUUAGCAAUUGACGUUAGCGACAGAAGAAGCACCGGCUAACUCCGUGCCAGCAGCCGCGGUAAUACGGAGGGUGCGAGCGUUAAUCGGAAUUACUGGGCGUAAAGGGCACGCAGGCGGUUAAUUAAGUUGGAUGUGAAAUCCCCCGGGCUUAACCUGGGAAUGGCAUUCAAGACUGGUUUAGCUAGAGUCUUGUAGAGGGGGUAGAAUUCCAUGUGUAGCGGUGAAAUGCGUAGAGAUGUGGAGGAAUACCGGUGGCGAAGGCGGCCCCCUGGACAAAGACUGACGCUCAUGUGCGAAAGCGUGGGGAGCAAACAGGGAUUAGAUACC
rnacentral:rRNA from 1 species